rnacentral:miRNA from 3 species
UUAGGCCGCAGAUCUGGGUGA